UCACCGCUUGCGCGGGCAGUUUCACUAGAGUUCCCACCAUUACGUGCUGGCAACUAACGAUAAGGGUUGCGCUCGUUGCGGGACUUAACCCAACAUCUCACGACACGAGCUGACGACAGCCAUGCAGCACCUAUGCAUGCUCCCCUUGCGGGGUCGUCCCACUUUCAUGGUUCUACCACAUGCAUGUCGAGGCCAGGUAAGGUUCUUCGCGUUGCAUCGAAUUAAGCCACAUACUCCACCGCUUGUGCAGGCCCCCGUCAAUUUCUUUGAGUUUUAAUCUUGCGACCGUACUCCCCAGGCGGCACAUUUAACGCGUUAGCUUCGCCACAAAAGGGGUCGAUUCCUCUUACAGCAAAUGUGCACCGUUUACAGCUAGGACUAC
rnacentral:misc_RNA from 1 species